UAAAAAAAGAAAAAGAAAAAGAACUGAGAUAAGAGAAAAGGCAAGAACGAGCGGCGGAAGACGGUUUGCUCCUAAUCUACAUUGAGAAGAGUUGAAGAGCGGCCGGAUCUACAAGAUUGCAGAAGAAUCGAACUUGCUCAAGACGAUUGCACCGCUAUCCACCACUAGAUCUAGAAAAGUUCCCAACAAGAUUGCACAAUUUCAAGAAUGCCCACCGCUUAUUUCUGGGCGGUUGAUUCAAGCAAUUGAUGAGAUGACCCUCUGCAGCCGUGGCUUGAUUUCGAUCAUCCAAAUGGAACCUUAUGUUUUCCUCCAACU